rnacentral:sRNA from 1 species
GUGAAGUUGAUCACAACAAACAUAUACCCCUUUGUUUGAAACCGUGAAAAAUUUCUCCCAUCCCCUUUGUUCGUAUUAUAGAAAAAUGCCCUGCCGCAGCGGGGCAUUUUU